CUCAAGGAGUGGUAAACUUUAACAUGCACAGCAUAAAAUAAGGUGUUUGAUAUAAUAAAAGGUGAAACUACUCGGCUUCUUUGCUCUGGCAGUGGGAACGUAAUUGAAUUUGCUCUGGUUGUUAACGAAUGCAAUUAUAGACAACUCAUUGGCAGGCAAUGAUCUAUGGGAAGGGUGCAGGAACACUUGACUGCUGCCAUUAAUGAUAUGGAGGAAUACAUUUGAAAAGGAGAUGUUUCCCUGUAAAUCUGGAAUGGAGAGGUUUUGGAAGAAACCUUGGAGAGAUCCUGAUUG
rnacentral:lncRNA from 1 species